rnacentral:rRNA from 1 species
CACAUAUCACCCUCGAUUCGUCGCAGGGGUGUGGAUGGGUAGGGGAGCGUCGUGUGCGCGAUGAAGCGGCAGGGUGACCUAGCCGUGGAGAGCACACGAGUGAGAAUGCAGGCAUGAGUAGCGAAUGAGGAGUGAGAAACUCCUCCACCGAAAGACCAAGGGUUCCAGGGUCAAGCUAAUCUGCCCUGGGUAAGUCGGGACCUAAGGCGAGGCCGACAGGCGUAGUCGAUGGACAACGGGUUGAUAUUCCCGUACCGGCGCUAGCACGAUCAUGCCGAGGCGAGCGAUGCUAAGCACGCAAGUCGCACGGAUCCUUCGGGUGAUGUGUCGAUGAGUCUGCGAACCAGACUUGUAUUAGGCAAGCUGCGGAGGGACGCAGGAAGGUAGCUCAUCCCGGGCGAUGGUAUCCGCAAGGUGAUCCCGGGCUAAGUGUGUAGGGCGAGGUGUAGGUAAAUCCGCAUCUCAUGAUGCCUGAGACAUGACGGCUGGUCGGUCUACGGACCGGCGAGUGAGUGAUCCUAUGCUGCCUAGAAAAUCUUCGUGAGCGAGUUCUAGAGCCGCCCGUACCCUAAACCGACUCAGGUGGUCAGGUAGAGAAUACCAAGGUGAUCGAGAUAACCGUGGUUAAGGAACUCGGCAAAAUGCCCCCGUAACUUCGGGAUAAGGGGGGCCGGACGCGUUUGCCAGACUUGCUCUGGUUGGCGUGAAAGGCCGCAGAGACCAGGCCCAAGCGACUGUUUACUAAAAACACAGGUCCGUGCCAAGUCGUAAGACGAUGUAUACGGACUGACGCCUGCCCGGUGCUGGAACGUUAAGGGGAACUGUUAGCCGCAAGGCGAAGCGGUGAACUUAAGCGCCAGUAAACGGCGGUGGUAACUAUAACCAUCCUAAGGUAGCGAAAUUCCUUGUCGGGUAAGUUCCGACCUGCACGAAUGGCGUAACGACUUGGGCGCUGUCUCGACCACGGACUCGGCGAAAUUGCACUACGAGUAAAGAUGCUCGUUACGCGCAGCAGGACGGAAAGACCCCGGGACCUUCACUAUAGUUUGGUAUUGGUGUUCGGUACAGCUUGUGUAGGAUAGGUGGGAGACUGUGAAGCGGCGACGCCAGUUGUCGUGGAGUCAACGUUGAAAUACCACUCUGGUUGUUCUGGAUAUCUAACCUAGGUCCAUCAUCUGGAUCAGGAACAGUGCCUGAUGGGUAGUUUGACUGGGGCGGUCGCCUCCCAAAAGGUAACGGAGGCGCCCAAAGGUUCCCUCAGCCUGGUUGGCAAUCAGGUUUCGAGUGUAAGUGCACAAGGGAGCUUGACUGUGAGAGGGACACCUCGAGCAGGGACGAAAGUCGGGACUAGUGAUCUGACGGUGGCAUGUGGAAGCGCCGUCACUCAACGGAUAAAAGGUACCCCGGGGAUAACAGGCUGAUCUUGCCCGAGCGUCCAUAGCGACGGCAUGGUUUGGCACCUCGAUGUCGGCUCGUCGCAUCCUGGGGCUGGAGUCGGUCCCAAGGGUUGGGCUGUUCGCCCAUUAAAGCGGCACGCGAGCUGGGUUUAGAACGUCGUGAGACAGUUCGGUCCCUAUCCGCUGCGCGCGUAGGAGUCUUGAGGAGGGCUGUCCUUAGUACGAGAGGACCGGGACGGACGAACCUCUGGUGUGCCAGUUGUUCUGCCAAGAGCACGGCUGGUUGGCUACGUUCGGAAGUGAUAACCGCUGAAAGCAUCUAAGCGGGAAGCACGCUCCAAGAUGAAGGCUCCCACAGGAUAGCCUGGUAAGGCCCCCAGCAGAACACUGGGUGAUAGGUCGGAUGUGGAAGCACAGCAAUGUGUGGAGCUGACCGAUACUAAUAGGCCGAGGGCUUGUUUA